rfam:Afipia sp. P52-10 contig000003, whole genome shotgun sequence.
ACACCAGUACGGGCCCCUCUGACAACUCGAUCCGAGUUGUGAUGUCGGACUGGACGA